rnacentral:snRNA from 1 species
GUGUUCANUCCAGCGGCCCAUAUACUAAAAUUGGAACCAUAUAGAGAAGAUGCGCAUGGCCCCUGAACAAGGAUGACAUGCAAAUUUGUGAAGCAUUUUGUAUUAAA